AAAUCUGUAUAUUUCUAGGUUCGUUCAUAAAAUAAACUUGUAUCUAAAUAAUCGAAAAAUAUAAAUUUAAUUACGUAAAAGUGCAUUCUGUUGUUCUAAUGCAUAAUACAACAUUUUAAAAUCACUGAACAUAAUACACUUUGCUAUGGCAUAUCAGAAUGUUGAUUUUAAUACAUUUAUUAAUUAUUACGUCCUAUUAUAAUUUACUAUGUAAAAUAAUCAUGAUUGGAAUUAAAAAUAAUAUUGUUCGUAUAACAUUGUUCUAAAUUAAUUAAAACUAGGAACAGAAAAGAAAUGCUGAAUUGAGCACAUUUUUAACAUAAUCUUUCACCCCAUUAUUCACGAAAACUUAAAACAAUACUAAUUUCAAUGCGAUAAAAUGAGACAAAAAAUAAAAUUCAAGUUAAAAAAUGGGGUUAGUCUUAUAAAAAUAUUUUAGAUAUGUCAGCACACAAAGAUUUCACUAUAUGAUACUUCUGAUUGAGAUUUACAAAAUCUAUUUUCCAGAAACUAAGUACAAAAUAUUUAUUAUAGUUAUGCAUUGACAGUAGUUAGGCGGAAGAUUUUUAUGAAUUGCAAUAUUUAUUGUAUGAAGUUUUUAAAACAUUUUCCGAUUAGAAUAAACAGCUCGUAAAAGCACUAAAACGAAUGAAUUUAAAAUAUUAAAGGAUUAAAGAUUAAAAUUAAUGAAUUACUAAGCGAUAUUUUUUAAAAAUUAACAUAAUAAUCAACAAGUAAGGAAAAUGAUUCAAUUCAUACAACAUUAAAAUGAUAUGGCGCAAACAUUAUGCCUACAUCGUGAACAGUUUUCGUUCCAUUAAACAUAGCACCAUUACAUUACUUAACAGUUACUUAGAUUACUAUUAUUUACACAGAGAUCUCAUAUAGACUACAUCACAUUAGAUAGCUAUACUAACGCGAACCACUGAGAUGGCACAAACGGCGAGAAUAUUAUAAGUUUUGAGUCAUACGCCGUAUGAUUUAUAAGGUUUGGUUUUAUAAUAGUUUGAGUUUUUUCAAUAGGGUAGGUAUAUGUAUCGAUUUUAUAAAUUUGAUAAUUAGUACCACCAAUCAACGGAUUAUAUCGUCAAACCAUAAUGGGUUAGUAGAAAUGUAUACCCCUACUGUGUAUUGGGUAAAUGCUCAUUCAUGCACAUAAUGCGUUUGUUUUCUGGAACCAAAUAGUGGUAACAAAGUUUGAGACAGUUUGGUGGUGUUAGGUACCUGAAUUAUGAUUAUCGUAAAUAUACCCCAUUUAGAUAAUAAUAUAUUAAAAAUCAUAUUUUGUGACACGUUUUGCGACAUCUACGAGAUUGGUGGGAUAAACAUCAUCUCUGUCAAAAUAAAAUUAAUUUCAAUAAGGUUGUACAAUUUACUAAAUUACGGGAUUCUUUUUAUUAUUUAGAUCUACUUACAUUUAUGAUGAAGACACAUAGUUGUGCGUUUUAUUACUUAUUGUCCUUUUCGGACAUUAUUUUAUUAAUUUAAUUUUUUUAUUCAUCUAAUUUAGUGCGACGUAGUAUGGCAUACGGAUCUUUUUAAAAUAUAGAAUAGUGCAAGGUUGUGGUGCUUGUACGUUGUGGUUGAGCCAGCCCACAUUCACAAAAUCCGUUAACCCCCGCCAUAUCAUUUACGCCGACUUUUUCACUAAUUUUGAUAAGCACUUUCAUAUAAUUUAUAGACACCUAUAUCACCAUGAUAAAUGAGCAAUAUUUAAUCGUUGUUAUAAGCAAAUUAGGAGCUCAGUUCAAUCUCAUCAAAUCUAAAGAUAUUAUUUAAUUUUGAGCAAAUUCGUAUUGAAAUAUAAAAAGGCAAGCGCUAUUAACCGUAUGCAAAGGUUACUUUCAAUUAGAUUUAGUAUAAACUGACUUGUAUGUUAUCAGUAAUCAGCAUGAAUUCUAAAUUUUUGCUUUUUUACAAAACUUUUCAUUAUGAUUGUGCUAAGUAAAGUUAAAGAUUAGUAUAAGCAAUAAUAUAGUUAACCAAAUUAUGCAUUCUGGUUGUAAGUAAAUUGUCUAAAAUAAGAAAUGCCCACCCCCAAAUAUAAAAUACACCUACCAUCAUCAAAAUUAAAAUAAAUUGAAUUAAUAGAAAUCAUUGGACUAAUAUGCACUAAAAAUCUCAAGAAUAUUUGUUUACAUUUUACUAAAAAUAGCCCGGGAGCAUUUUAUUUUACGUCUACGAAAUUAAUCUAACGUUUCUAUUGCUUACGCGCUUGAUUUAAAUGCUAGUCGGUUAUGUUACUCGAAUAAUGUAACAACCAUUGCACGAAUAUCACACACUAAAUACUCUUCCCUAUAUCGGUAUAAAAAUAAUUCAAAGAGAGCAUGGGGAUCUGAGAAUCUUAUUUGUGUUGGCCUAUAGUUAAUUGACAGUAUCUUGGCUUUAUCACAAGAGUGAUCGAUUUGCAAUAUCAAUACUCUUAUUAAUAUCAGUACAGAUUUCUUGCCAUGCUACAAAAUGGGAGUGUUGUAGGAAGACAACGUUGAUCAGACUAUUUCAUAUAUCAGUGUUAAAUUGAUUUCAUUUGUAACGAUUCAAAUUGUGAAUACUGAUAUUGUAUUAAAUAUUUAAAGUAGAAAUCAUUACUCACACAAUUCGCAACGGUGCGAUUAGAGUACUUGUAUUGACUUGUCGAUUUAUUAUUUUUAGCAGCAACAUUGUCACUAUGAAACGUCAAAGUGACAUUUGGUGUAAGUUUAUAAGCCAACGUUUUUCUAGCAACAUUCAGCUGUAUUACCUUGGAUUUAGAAUCCAAGCUUAGCGUCUAGAGCGUAGACUGUAUAUAAAAA